rnacentral:rRNA from 1 species
CGAACGCUGGCGGCGUGCCUAACACAUGCAAGUCGAGCGAGAAAGUUGCCUUCGGGUGGCGAGUACAGCGGCGCACGGGUGAGUAACACGUGGAUAAUCUGCCCAUAGGUCUGGGAUACCCCGGGGAAACUCGAGCUAAUACCGGAUAAGACCCCAUGCCGGAAGGUGUGAGGGAAAAGCGGGGGCCUUCUUCGGAAGCCUCGCGCCAAUGGAUGAGUCCGCGGCCCAUCAGCUUGUUGGCGGGGUAAAGGCCCACCAAGGCUAAGACGGGUAGCUGGUCUGAGAGGAUGAUCAGUCACACUGGAACUGAGACACGGUCCAGACUCCUACGGGAGGCAGCAGUGGGGAAUAUUGCGCAAUGGGCGAAAGCCUGACGCAGCAACGCCGUGUGAGUGAUGAAGGCCUUCGGGUCGUAAAGCUCUGUCAGCGGGAAAGAUGGCUUAGUUGGUUAAUACCCAAUUAAGUUGACGGUACUCGCAAAGGAAGCACCGGCUAACUCU